GCAUCUGUAGUGUAGGGGUUAUCAUCCCAGCCUUCCAUUUCCUAAGUGAACGAUAGCUGGGGACUCGAGUUCGAGUCUCGACAGAUGCA